rnacentral:rRNA from 1 species
UACGUAGGGGGCUAGCGUUGUCCGGAUUUAUUGGGCGUAAAGAGCGUGUAGGCGGCCAGGCAGGUCUGUUGUGAAAACUGGAGGCUUAACCUCCAGACGUCGACAGAAACCGCUUGGCUAGAGUCCGGAAGAGGAGAGUGGAAUUCCUGGUGUAGCGGUGAAAUGCGCAGAUAUCAGGAAGAACACCAAUGGCGAAGGCAGCUCUCUGGGACGGUACUGACGCUGAGACGCGAAAGCGUGGGGAGCGAACAGG